UACAGAGGGUGCAAGCGUUAAUCGGAAUUAUUGGGCGUAAAGCGCCGGUAGGUGGUUUGUUAAGUUUAAUGUGAAAGCCCUGGGCUUAACCUGGGAAUGGCAUUGGAAACUGGCAGACUGGAGUCGGACAGAGGGCUGUGGAAUUUCCGGUGUAGCGGUGAAAUGCGUAGAGAUCGGAAAGAACAUCGAUGGCGAAGGCAGCGGCCUGGGUCCAGACUGACACUGAGAGGCGAGAGCGUGGGGAGCAAACAGG
rnacentral:rRNA from 1 species